GCUUGCCCAGGAAGGUCAAACUCGGAAAUAACCUCAUUGCUUAUUCCAGGAACUUCUUGAAAGACCCAUCAAUUCUUCAAUAGAAAGCAUCAAAGGACAAUUUACACCCUAAGACUGAACCCCUGACCUCAAAAUCUUUCCCUUGCUAUGUUCACCAACCUCAACAGAAAUAUUAGGAUUCUUACCUGAUCCUAGCCAAGCCCCCUCCCUCAUCUCCCAUUAAAGGGUCCAUCUUCAACCAAACUUAAGUCUCAAUAAAUAUCUGGACAUUGUCCUUCCAACUCUGGGAAGCUGCUAAGACUCUGUCCUUACUGCAGAAGAAAAAACAGCCUUGUACCCUGGUCUUCUCAACAGGUUGUUCUGGAGAUGUUCUGGGGAGACUGCAUUAAACACAGCUUCGCACCAUUGAAUAAACUCAGCAACAAGCCAAUGCAUAAAAGUAAUCUAUGCUUCAGGUCACAGAAGCUUCAAGGGGAAAAAAACAGAAUACUCUAGGGCCAUUGUUCACAAACUCAUCUGAAAACAUCCUGGAAAAAUUUUCCCAAACACAUGGAAAGAAAGAGAGGAAAAAAGAAGAUAUCUGAAUAAUGUGGACUAGAAUAAAGAGCUGCCAGGAGCUGUUUAUUUAAAAACAGUACUUUCUUCUCUGGCUGAGUCCCUGGUAUUCUCUGCUGCAAUCUGUAGCUGUAGAAUUUUGAAGAAUGCAAUUAAAUUCAAAUGGUUUGAUGAGUAA
rnacentral:lncRNA from 10 species